GAUGAACGCUGGCGGCGUGCCUAAUACAUGCCAGUCGAGCGAACGGACGAGAAGCUUGCUUCUCUGAUGUUAGCGGCGGACGGGUGAGUAACACGUGGAUAACCUACCUAUAAGACUGGGAUAACUUCGGGAAACCGGAGCUAAUACCGGAUAAUAUUUUGAACCGCAUGGUUCAAAAGUGAAAGACGGUCUUGCUGUCACUUAUAGAUGGAUCCGCGCUGCAUUAGCUAGUUGGUAAGGUAACGGCCUACCAAGGCAACGAUGCAUAGCCGACCUGAGAGGGUGAUCGGCCACACUGGAACUGAGACACGGUCCAGACUCCUACGGGAGGCAGCAGUAGGGAAUCUUCCGCAAUGGGCGAAAGCCUGACGGAGCAACGCCGCGUGAGUGAUGAAGGUCUUCGGAUCGUAAAACUCUGUUAUUAGGGAAGAACAUAUGUGUAAGUAACUGUGCACAUCUUGACGGUACCUAAUCAGAAAGCCACGGCUAACUACGUG
rnacentral:rRNA from 1 species